UACGUAGGGUGCAAGCGUUAAUCGGAAUUACUGGGCGUAAAGCGUGCGCAGGCGGUUUUGUAAGUCUGUCGUGAAAUCCCCGGGCUCAACCUGGGAAUUGCGAUGGAGACUGCAAGGCUAGAAUCUGGCAGAGGGAGGUGGAAUUCCACGUGUAGCAGUGAAAUGCGUAGAGAUGUGGAGGAACACCGAUGGCGAAGGCAGCCUCCUGGGCCAGCACUGACGCUCAUGCACGAAAGCGUGGGGAGCAAACAGG
rnacentral:rRNA from 1 species